GUGCCUCAAAAGGAAUAAAAGUU
rnacentral:siRNA from 1 species